GUUCGCCUACGGGGGGCAGCAGUGGGGGAUAUUGCACAAUGGGGGAAACCCUGAUGCAGCGACGCCGCGUGAGGGAUGAAGUAUUUCGGUAUGUAAAGCUCUAUCAGCAGGGAAGAAAAUGACGGUACCUGACUAAGAAGCCCCGGCUAACUACGUGCCAGCAGCCGCGGUAAUACGUAGGGGGCAAGUGUUAUCCGGAUUUACUGGGUGUAAAGGGAGCGUAGACGGCAGUGCAAGUCUGAAGGGAAAGGCAAGGGCCC
rnacentral:rRNA from 1 species